GAAAAAUUAGUUUAAAUAAAACAUUAACUUGUCAAGUUAAAAACAUUAAAAACUAAUAUUUUUCU
rnacentral:tRNA from 1 species